rnacentral:rRNA from 1 species
GAUGAACGCUGGCGGCGUGCCUAAUACAUGCAAGUCGAGCGAACGGACGAGAAGCUUGCUUCUCUGAUGUUAGCGGCGGACGGGUGAGUAACACGUGGAUAACCUACCUAUAAGACUGGGAUAACUUCGGGAAACCGGAGCUAAUACCGGAUAAUAUUUUGAACCGCAUGGUUCAAAAGUGAAAGACGGUCUUGCUGUCACUUAUAGAUGGAUCCGCGUUGCAUUAGCUAGUUGGUAAGGUAACGUCUUACCAAGGCAACGAUGCAUAGCCGACCUGAGAGGGUGAUCGGCCACACUGGAACUGAGACACGGUCCAGACUCCUACGGGAGGCAGCAGUAGGGAAUCUUCCGCAAUGGGCGAAAGCCUGACGGAGCAACGCCGCGUGAGUGAUGAAGGUCUUCGGAUCGUAAAACUCUGUUAUUAGGGAAGAACAUAUGUGUAAGUAACUGUGCACAUCUUGACGGUACCUAAUCAGAAAGCCACGGCUAACUACGUG